CUCAGCAGUCGGGCGUAGGAUUCGGAGGUUUUUGUUUUUCCCCCAAAUUAUUAUUAUUUCCCCCCACCCCCGGGUGGCAAAAAACGGGCGGGGAGAAGGGGAGCUCGAUGAUUCGGUGAUCGGCCGCCGAGGCUGUGGUGAGGCUGCGGAAUUCCGAGGCGCGGAUUGGACGGGCCGGGGAGGGGAGGACGAGGGAGCGUCUCCGGGCCAGGAUUGGGCUGAGCUGGGCCGGCCGCCAUUUUGGAUGCUGCGUCGCCUCGCUGUGGGAAGGUCUUGCCUUUGCCUCCCAUGAAAAAAACCUACCAGUGAACGUGCAUGCAGAAAACACAUAAGUAUUCAACAAAAAAUAACCUCAAAUUGGGGAAUAAAGGACAAGUCAACAGCCUGUGUAUAGGGGCAGUGAAGGGAAAUUUCAGCAACCAGUCCCCUCGAUGCAGGAGAAGUGUUGGACAUCAUUACAUGUACGAUAAAGAUACCUGAAUUCAUUGAUCUCUGACCAGGAAGCAUAACAAUCCAUUUAUUGCAAGUUGGAAGGAGGAGGGAGUCAGGAUUGUCUAAGAAGAGAUCUGUGCAUAACAGGAUCAUUGAAACAGAAGAAUAGAAAUGAUCACUGGACCAUUUAAUGCAACCUCCUGUAUCACAUGAUGCAGGAAUUACUUAAUGAAAUUCCCUGGCCCAAACCAAGCAAAUCUCUGGGAAGUGCCAGCAUGGCAGACACCAGCCUAUUUCAAUUGGUGAUCUUCUCUCUUUGGAAGAUGGAGUUGGAAGAAGCACAGGUAUGUGGUGAGAAGUCAGCCAAGUCACUGAUCCUGGAAGCAGCAAAGCAACCUUCAGUGAGAGGAGAGAGGUGGAGGACCUCACAGGACUGAAUAUGAUCAACACCACUCACUUCCCUGCACUGUCUGUAAGCCAAGAAACUGGCAGUCAGUGACCAUGGCCAGCGGACUAUUACAGCACCCUUUGAACUGAGCCUUGUUGCUACCUGGGUGAUAGUCUACCACAAGACACAAUUUAUUGCAGAAGCAACAUUAGCCACAGGAAGUAAAUGCAUCCCAGAGCUGAAAGCUGCUCAAUUUGCAAUUAGCAGAAGUGAAGAACAUUUCUGAGUGAGAAAUAAUGCUGUGCCGUGGAUGUGGUUACACAUGCACUUGACCGGAGUGGCACCUGGGUAAUCUGUUCCCACCAUGUAAAGAGCGCUCCAUGGCGACUCGGUCAUUCAAGGCAUGACAACCCUGGAGACGUCCUGUGCCGCCCAGGAGACGUAGUUCAAAGACGGAAGCUACUUUCUAGAGGAAAAUGGGAUAUGGGGACUCCCAGUCCCCACUGUACACUCUGCCAUGACUGGAAGUGUCUCCGGUUUUGGACAAAAGUGCAGGUUUUGCUGAAGGGAAAGACUCUGGACCAGCAACAGCAGAGCCAGUGGGGCUCUGGACCUGCAGUAACCUUGCAUAAUGUCUGCUCUACCUUUAAAACAGACGGAGAGAAAGGGAUAAUUUUAGGCCGCCUAGCAGUUCUGUUCUUAGUGUACUUUGGGUUUGCAGUUUGAGCCAACAAGAAGGGCAAUUUGUGCAGACUUUUCAAUGAAGUGUGAUCUGAAUCUGUGGGGCUGAAUCGCUGGACGAGCACUAGGUUUCUCUGAGAGCUUUUCUCCACACAGCAGUGAUAUUUAGUCAAUCAAGCCCACUCUUUUUUCCUAUGCCUUUCUUAAGUGAAUGAUGACAGUCUGGUCACAGCAUGUUUUCUGUUGUCACAUUAAGAUUUGGUUUAUUCAUUUUGGUACAGAUGUUUUCUGUUACAAAAUACUCUAUAGGCAAAUACUGCCAACAUAUAACUGCCGUUCCUGGAAUCAGCAUGCAAACAGCAGUAACUCAGCCACAGGACAGAUCUUGGCUAUUAUGAAUGUCUUUUAGAAGAGGAAAAUACCGAGAAAAGCAACAUACACCUCAUCAAAGGCCACAAAAUUACCCUGUGGUUAAUUUACAGAUCUUCCCAAAACUUCAUCUUAUACAACAAAUAUGUCAAAUAUUAGGAGUCUGGUUUUGAAUUUUACUAAUUCCAAGGAUACCAACUACUUUUCAGUGUUUCUAUGCUUUCAAACUCUUCAAUGCAACUCUCUCUACUGCAGCUACUGCCUUAUCUUAAUGUUACUUUUUUGCUACAGCCCAUAGGCUUUCAUGAGCACAGUGAUUCUGUCAGCUGCCCCCUUAUGUUGCUAGUUCUGCCUGUUGUCUCAGUUUUCUGCCAGGGCUGUGUCACUUAAGCGAACAUUUUCAAACACAGAUGCCUCUACAUUUAGCACCUUUACAAAUCUUUUGGCACUUCAAUAAAAAUGGUCAGCUGUUUAGAUGUGCUAAAUACCUGCAGUUUCAAUCUGACUUCAGGCAAAUAAGCCUGGAGAAAGCCCUGCAUAGAUAAUGUCUCCCAUUUGUUAAUAACAUGUUUUUAACAGAAAGGAUCAAAUUAAUCUUUGAAAAAUAGGCAAAAAGCCCCAGAGGAAAAGUGCUAGACGUGAGAUGUUCUAUUACUACAUGAGCAAUCCUAGAAAAUGCUGCAAACCGCAAUGUAGAGAUACAUCAGCGACAGGCAAGAUUUCCUCCAUUUUCCUGUGUGCUGCAGAAGAGAUAAGGAGGAAAUCACUGAAUGCCAGAGACUGAGGAGUCCGAGGCGGGUGCACUGUAAAGCCGGAGACCGCAGCGAACCGCUGAAUUGACCUUUCCUCUCAAACAGGACAGCUCUAAGGUUUCAGCUGAGAUAUUUUCAACCCCUCAUCCCUUUAACCUUUAAGUAUUUAUCUUUCUUAAUGUGUGCAUUUCAGGACGUGCUGCAGCAACAUAUCAGGUAACUGGCUUGAAGUUCCUCAGGGUAAGGUCAGGCCCCUGCUGCAUGUAAAAUAGCAAAUAAAUAAAACUACCCCACACUUCACAUAUCCCCCAGCAAGCCAGGUAUCCUAACAUUGCAAAGCUUUAGAAUUAUUGGUUAAAAGCCUGUAAAACAUUACUAUAGGAGCUCCCACGGCACAUAGCUCCCUGGAAGCAUACUUACGGGAAUCGCGGAUGGGCAGGGGAGGAGCACGGCCUCUGAGGCAGUCGGUCUCCAGUGCCUUUAGGGGUGCGAAGGUUAGAGUAAUUUGGGAUGACUUGCUGGGCCGGACAGAUAACUCUCAUGCAUGGUCCAGGAACUGGAGGAAGUGGCUGAGAUGUAUGUGCAAAAUGUUGGUAAGGACUUCUGCCAUCUAGGAGGGUGAGACAAUAAUAGCAACUAUCAUUUCAAGCAAUAUAUUUUUGCCUCAGUUUAGGUUUAUCAGUUCCCAGGCACGUCUUCCGUUAUUUCUAGCGAAAACUGCAGCAGUUUUGAGGCAUUUGCAGGAUGCUUAGCUUGAAAGAAACAACAUUAAGGAAAGCUUUUACAGCCUGAAGUUUCCUAUUUCCCUUUCACAUACAAUAUGGUUCAGCUUCCCACUGUGGGUUGGACUGUUGGGAUAACUGACAGUUAAAUAUUGAGGGCUGCUUUGUCCCUGUACUUAACAUGCCUCAGUAUUUUUUUUAAUUUCUUUUUGGCAAUAACUUGAGAAAAUGAAUCAUCCUAACAUUCUCAUGAAAGCAGAUGAAAAAAACUGGACCGAAUCAGUUUGCAACGCUAAGGCUAAACAGACUGAGAUUACUGUAAAUGAAAAGAGAAAAAUAAUCUCUUGGUUUGUUACUUCUCGCUGUAAGAAUUUUCUGCCUAGCUGACCUUUUAAGGCCUUGCUGCUGGUCCUGUUGCCAUCCAGGAGGCUGCAGGGGAAGCCCGAAGUGAGAAUUCAGCUUAAGCAGUUCUAAAAAAUCUUACUGUCAUUGGCAUUCAGUGCUGUUUAAUAACUAAUGUAUGGUGAAACUGUUGGCGUAAGCUGAAAAAGAAGGCAAUCUAGGCUGCUGGUUUCCCAGACAGGAAAAACUAUUUUUUUUUCAGUCUUUCUGCUUGCAGUUGUCAUUAGGCAGCAGCUCUGCUCACUUACAAGCUGUUGUGCAGAGAUCAAAGUCCAGACUGGCAGGGCUUACUAGCUUGAGCACUGUGUGAUUAUGGUGUUACGAGCUGGCUCCGAAAGCUGCAGUACUCAAAUACUCCUUUUUUCCUAGAUUGUUUUUUUAAAAUUCUUUUAGCUACUUUGGGGUCAUACUUUCCUCUUCCUAGCAGCCACAAGGGCUAUAUAUAUAUGUUUUAAGAAAUGAAAAGCUUUAAUGAAACCAGCCAACUCUAGGAGACAGUACUUUAAAACCGACCUCCCAGCCCUGGAAUUACAAAGAGAUUCCUGAUGAAAUUGUGAGUUGGCAACAUCCUGUUCCUUGAGAUUGUUGUGGGAGAUGUUUUUUUCCUCCCUCUCAGCUAUUUGUAACAGGACAGGUGAAAGGAGGCUGGGAGAGCAAAGAUAUGGGUUCUGAUGGUGUUCUUCAUGACCAGCUCUAGGAAAACUGGCAUAGCUCUGGGAAGAUUCAGUUCAGUUUGAGGGGUUUUAGGCUGGCUGCUUCUUUGGGAUCUAUCUGAUGCUAUAGGAUUUUAAUAUAUGUAACCACUGUGGUCAGGUAUGCGUGAUCUCAGACAUGAACAGCUCUCAUAUAUACAUGUCUGAAACACUGGUCCCUGGGCACAUAGUGCUCCUGAGAGGAUUGCUUUGAUUUCAGAUGUAGUUUACUCUUGUAUCGCAAGCAGCAGGAGUCCAGAGCCAGGUCAGAGCCUAUGGGCACAAUCUGCACUAUUGCUAUUGCUGGGGAGAGGCAUGUUGUAACAUACUGCCCAGCUUUGUUGUGGGUUGCAACUGCUGAAUAAUGAUUUGAUAUGCAAGGAGCUGCCAGGAGGUGAAUUAUGCUGCACCAGGCAUGUGAGAAACAGGAGUACAGUUGCCAGCUUCUUGGUCCUGACCAAAUCUGCUCCAACCAUCUGAGUUUAUUUUAUUCUUUUUGCCCUCUGGAUAUGGUUGAAACACUAGUGAUUUUUCUAAAGAGAGCCUUUCAGAGUUCCUGCUUUACAACAAAAUGGUCUCAUUCAGUCAACGCCCUCUUUCUCACCAUGGCUGCAUGUGGAGGAGGUAAAUAGUGAGGGGUAUUGUGCAACCAACUCUUCUUCUGCUUAAAGCUAAACCAAGCUGAAAUGAGGAGGUAUGAACAGAAGAACAGAGGAUGCUCUGUGAAUGUUCAGCUGUCCCAGCUGAUGGAAGUCCAUCUGUGGCCCUUUCCCCAACAUGAAGUCCCAAGAUCAGAGGCAACAGCUGAGGCUCUGAUAUUCUGUCUUAUGCCUAAUGAUAGCACUUUACUGGAAUGACAAAACUCUUUAAACAGAUGUAAUAUAAAUGUUGUGGAGUCAACAGAAGGUUAAAAAAAAGGCCAUUAGAGCAGGCCUGCAGCUUUUUAUUACAAAGUGAGCCCAAAACUGGUUGGGGCCUCCCGAGUCUAAUGUAAUAUGAAUUAUAUUAAAACAAUGAUAUUGCUGUUGAAUGUUCAAAGCUCAUUUCAUAACAGAUAAAAAUCUCAGUGACUGAAAAGGAAUACUAAUUAAUAGCAGGCUGUAAACUGCUUCGUAGUCUCCAAGAGCCAAAAUACUCAUAUUGACUGAGUCACGUUAGCGUUCAGUGAUAUGCUCACCAGCAGCCAGCAGCUGAGAGGUGUCCAUUUUAAGUAAUGAGCUUUCAUUUCAGCUAACAAGAGAAAAAAAAUGUGGAUGAUGGAUGACAUACUUUUUUUUCAAGUAGAAAUAAAAUACUUGGAUUAGCUUGGUCAUAAUGCUGGUAGACACUACUUAAAGAGAUCAAAGGUAGACAUCCAUCCUGAUUUUGGCAGGAAAUGCUCAACUUUCUUUGGAGAUCCAAGUUAGAGCAAGAAAACCUAUGAAAACAACAGGAAUUAAAUCAGUAUAGGAGGCUGCUGAAUGACUGAUGCAAGGAGGAAGGAAAUGACUAGAAUAUGAAAUAACAGCAGGGAGAAGGCUGCAUAUACUCAGUUUGUGACCAAAACCAGAUUGUUUCUAGGCAAAAGCAUUAGCCUUCAUCUGAUGAGUAACUGAGCAUUUUAACUUUUUAUCUGGCUCAGAGGUUCUGCAUCAGCAAGUCCACUGGCAUAACCCUUAAAUCUGGAAAUAGAAAAAUGGAUUGCAAAUAAAUAUUUUAAAAUGCUAAUAAUUGCAUGUGGUAAAGGAAGUACAGCAAUGAUGGCUGUGACAUCCCAGGAAAACCUCACGUGGGGGUAAGCUGUGUCACUUACAUGGGUGCUGCGGGUGUUGCUCCACUGGGCAGUGGUGCCUAAAGCAGCCGUGAGCCUGUGAUGAAAUGUUAGGAUGGGGCAAGUGCUGGCACAGAGGAUGCUGCUGAUGCUCAGGUCCAAAAUACUCUCUGGAGAUCAGGGGUCCUGGAAGGUCCUGUGGGUUCAGCACAGACACUAGAGGUAAGGGGGGCUCUAAGUGCCUGAUGCCCAUGAUGUCUCGUGACUGGGAAUUGUACCCUGUAUCCACAGUUGCCAACUCUGCUGGUGCUCUGUUUUCUGAGGGUUGUUGUAGCUGUAAACUCCCUUGGCUGCUGUCCUCGAGUGAAUCCUCAGGAACAUCAGACAAACUCUUGUUCGAUUUACUGGAAUUGUGCCCUGUGUCAGCUGAAAGCUGAGAUCUCAAAUGCCCACCUGAUUUUUCCAUAGCUAAAUGAAGCGCCUUGGAGGGACCUAUUCUGGCUAUUGAUUCACGAGGGGAACAGAAACGCCCAUCUUCAUUGGCACUUUUUGACCAUAACCUGCCAUCUGGCUCCACGGCUGCUACAUCAGACAGUGCAGGCUGGUGAUGUGGUGGUGCUCUGCAGAGGCAUGACGGUCCAGCAUCGGGCUGAGGCAUUUGAGCAGCUUGAGGUCCCUGGGGCUCCUCAUUCUCCAUAUGCUCACCAGAAGAUUGUGAAGCCUCUUCCAAGGCAUGUUCGGCAAAUGGGGACCACAUCACAGAUUCAUCCACUUCAACUGGUACGCUUCGACUCACAAAAGCACCUGAAAAAGCAGCAGAAAAAACAAUGCAGACUGACAGCCAUGCAGAUAAACACAUAUCUUCAGCCAUCACUCAAUGACUGUGAGCCAGAAUACUGAAGAGCAGAGUAUCAAAAAAGCAUUUAUAUUUUUUAAAAAGACAGACAGAAAACAAGACAAGUCUGGCUGAAUCUGAAAGUGGAGGGUUAGCUGGAGUAUGGUAGCACAGAGUUACUGUUUGGACUCACCUGACAUGGAGGCCAUUUCCAAGUUUUACAGUCACACUGGAAAUGAGAGUCAACUGUCUUACUGCAAGGCCAGAAUUCUCUAGCAAACUGGAAAACAAGAGAAAGUAAGCUUGUAAGCAUAGUACAAUUUUACACAGACAAUAAUCCAAAAAUAACUCUAUCUCAGAGACUGAAAAAGAACACUGGUUAGAGCUCUGGAAAUCACAUUUCGCAGAGCAGACACUUUUAUGGGAUUUCUGGUACUUACUGUUCCUGCUGAGACUGGGAAAAAAGAAUCACAUGAACUGUCUCUCUUAGGUAAUAUUUUGCACCUGACAAAAGAGCAGCCUAUUUAGGUCUGGAAAUUUGGUUCAGAGAUACUCCAGAGAAUACAAUCACUUACAAUAUUUUACUCCAGACUUUCUAAUAAUAGCUACAUAUUAGAUCUUCAGAUGUAAACUUCACCCCACCCCUAGCUGAGUAAUUUUGAUUCUAAAGCUAGUUUCCACAUAUUGUUGCUUAUUUUGUCAAACUAGUUCAUCCAUCCUUUUAGGUUGUUGUUAUUUUAAAUUGUAUAGAAUUAAAAGACAAUUUAGAGACCUGAGCUAUUGUUUGGACUUUUCACCAUUUUCAGAUUGGAGCAGGCUCCAAACAGCAAAAUUAUCAUUUCCUUUUAAAGGAGCUUUCAGUAAAUUUGGUCCUGUCAAAUGAUUCUUGACGGAUCAUGCCUCUACACCAUCUUCGUUCAGAAUUAUAGAAGCAAUUAUAUAUGAAUUAUAUGCUGUUGCUGUAGCAUUUUGGGGAAUGAGACGUGCAAACUUUGUUACAAGGUUACACAGAGCAUUCUGUUUAUCCUGUACCUGUGCCUCCUGUACCUAUUACCU